rnacentral:rRNA from 1 species
GGAUUGUUCACCCACCAAUAGGGAACGUGAGCUGGGUUUAGACCGUCGUGAAACAGGUUAGUUUUACCCUACUGGUGACAAUGUUGCAAUAGUAAUUCAACCUAGUACGAGAGGAAUCGUUGAUUCACAUAAUUGGUCAUCGAGCUUGGUUGAAAAGCCAGUAACGCGAAGCUACCGUGCGCUAGAUUAUGACUGAACACCUCUAAGUCAGAAUCUGGGCUAGAAGCGAUGCAUGCGCCCGCCACCUGCUUGUCGACCAGCAGUAGGGGCCGUCCGGCCCCCAAAAGCAUGUGUCAUUGGUGAAGCUUGCGCGGUGGAUAAGCUGCGCAGGCCGCCUUGAACUACAAUUCCUAUCUUGAACGGCGAGUAGAAUCCUUUACAGACGACUUAAAUACGCGACAAGGUAUUGUAAGUGGGAGAGUGUCCUUGCUGCCAUGAUCCACUAAGAUUCAGCCCUGCGUCGCUCCGAUUCCUCCCUCCC